UCAAGCCGCCUAGCCGUUAGCCAAUCAGAGCGCGUCAUUCAGGUACGCUCUCGCACUUCGAGCGGAAAGAAAACAACAACAACAAACAUGGCCUCUCCCGUGGAGCAGCGUAUUCCCGUUGGAUCAGACAAAAAACGCCAGAAAAAUGAGGAUUAUAUACGCAUCCCACACACAUAUCAUCGGUGGACAAAGAACGGACACAGCCACUAACAGUUGUUCGUUGGAAGAAGCCGGUUGUAUGUGCCCGUAAGUGGCUAGAAAUUGACAGAAUCGACCGCACGUUAGCGGAGGCUGUAUGUGUACACGAUGACGAGUUCGCCAAAAAUAACAACGAUGAUGAUUCCACAUCAACCCUGGCUUGUCCAGACGAAACUCUUCCUGGCUUCAUGGAGGUACACAAACUUGGUUUUCAUCCAACUUGUUAUAGACGUUUCAUCCAUAAGAAACGAAUUGCCAGUGCUGAAAAACUAGCAGAAAAACGGGGAGCAUCUGGUGGUGACAACAAUGGUUCUGAUUCUGAUCACGAAUCUUCCACAACCACGUCCACGACUAGCCGGCCACCAUCUCCAAAACGGUUGAGAUCCACGACUAAAUCAUCGAGGUCUGGCAAUGUACUUCCUGCUGUCUGUAUAAUUUGCAAGAGGCUUGACCGCUUUGUGAAAGAAGGACACAUGACAAAGAAAGAUAAAUUGGUCCAAGCAGAAACUAUAAAUGCUGGGAGUUUGGUUAAAGCAGCUGAACUGAAAAUGGACGAAUCCAUCCUCAAGGAUGUACGUGGAAAAGAUUGUGUCGCAAUUGAAGUGCGGUACCACAAACGGUGCUACAAAGAAUGUACAAGAUUUCUGGUGGCUACAACAAGUGAUGAAAGGAUGCCAAAAGCCUGGGAGUAUGCCACUGUACACAGAAUUUUGUGACAAAAUAAUUCGGGCACAGUUGAUUAAAAAACAGGAAAUCUUCAGGAUGAAAAAGCUCUCUUCCCUGUUCCAGAAAAUGAUACGAGAACACCAUGGUCAUGGAAGUUACAGAUCAGAUCUUCUGAAGAAAAGACUGAGGCAAGACUUUCCCCAACUAAAUUUCUACAAGCCUCUGAGGAAAAACCUGAGUGAAAUGGUUUUUACAGAAGCUACAGGACUUCUCAACAAGGGUUCAUCAACUGAAACUGAGUCAUCAGGAUCGCAAGAUACUUUGUCGAGUGGUGGAGAGACAGUUCAGGAAGGUCGUACAUAUGCAGCACAACGAGACCAUACCAGAACCAUUGAUAGUGCAGGUAUAAUUCUUAAACAAGCAGUUAAGAGUGCCCCUAAAAUGAGUGCCAAUUGGCCUCCUACAUUUGAGGAUCUAAAUAUUUCCUCAGCUAGAAAGAUUGUGCCAAUUGAACUGUAUAAUUUACUUGCUUGGUGCAUAGGUGUAAGUGAUGAAUUGACAUUAUCUAACAUGGUUAAUGUAUCGGAGGAGGUUGAUCUUCGUUUACUGUCAAUCUGCCAAGAUAUUAUUUAUUUAUCCUCAAAAGGUAGAAAUCAAACCCCAAAAUCUCUAAUCUCUAAUCUCUAAUUCUGAAGUCGUAACAACCUGAAGUGAUCCUAAACAGUUUAACAUCUCUUGCUGGGUCCAACAAAAGUCAUUGUUUAAAAACAGAAAUGUCUUUGUGCCUAGUUUUCACUGUUCAAAUUUUAGCUGUGUAAAAUUUUGCUUCCAAUAUUGUAACUGGUCUGCUAGGUGAUAAAAUUCACACCACUUUUCAUAGUUAUUAGUUAACCAGACACAAAAGGAGAUCUUGUUAUUAGAGUUUUUCAAUUGAAAAUUCAAAGAAUUGCAGUUUUCAUGUGCAAUAAAGAUAUAUUAUGGGCAAUUGUGAAAUUGUUAAAAAGUGUAUUUUUUCAUUUAGAAUAACUCCUUACUUAAAGCACGCAGAACAUUGCCGCUUUAUAAGCUCUGAGUAAGUAUGAAUGUCUGUAGGAAUCAUAAUUUUGAGUCCGAUCGCCUGAAUAAUAAAAAAGUUACAAGGGUUUGAAAAUGGUAGAAGACCCAAAUUUGUCACUUUUUUGGGUAAACUGCCACCUUUGGCACCCAUUUUCUCAAAUACUGGCAGGAAUCCCAUGGAGAACUUUUUUCCCCAGCUCGAGUACAUAUUUAAGAUUGGAAAACUGCUGUCGAAAAGUAGUCCCCAGGUUAGUGGAGCGAAAUCCUAUUUCUAGCCUCAUUUUGAGCUUCAGCCUAUGGCCU